rnacentral:rRNA from 1 species
CUUAUGCAUGCAGUCGAACGAUGAGGCCCUACGGGGGUACAUCAGUGGCAGACGGGUGAGUAACACGUAGGUAACCUGCCCUCGAGACGGGGAUAACGGCUGGAAGCGGUCGCUAAGACCCGAUAUAGUCUGACCUUCGGGAGAAGGUGAGAGGAAAGGCUUCGGUGCUCGGGGAGGGGCCUGCGGCCCAUCAGCUAGUUGGAGAGGUAACGGCUCCCCAAGGCAAUGACGGGUAGGGGGUGUGAGAGCAUGGNCCCCCACACUGGGACUGAGACACGGCCCAGACUCCUACGGGAGGCAGCAGCAGGGAAUAUUGCGCAAUGGACGGAAGUCUGACGCAGCGACGCCGCGUGGAUGACGAAGGCCUUCCGGGUUGUAAAAUCCUUUUCCGGGCGAUGAGGAAGGACACUAGCCUGGGAAUAAGCGUCGGCUAACUACGUGCCAGCAGCCGCGGUAAGACGUAGGACGCGAGCGUUAUCCGGAUUUACUGGGCGUAAAGCGCCUGCAGGCGGUCAGGUAAGUCGGUUGUGAAAGCCCCGUGCCUCAACGCGGGGGAGGCCAAGCCGAUAACUGCGAUGACUUGACGGGCGGAAACAGGCGGAGGUGGAAUUCCCGGGUGUGAGCGGUAAAAGUGCGCAGCAUAAUCGGCGAGGAACACCCAGUGGGCGAAAGCGGCUCCCCUGGACCGCACCUGACGCUCAGAAGGCGACAGUUAGGGCGAGCGACCAGGAUUAGAGACCCUGGUAGUCCUAGCCCUAAACGCUGGAUGCUAGGUGUAGGGCUGAUGAGGCUCUGUGCCGGAGCGAACGCGAUAAGCAUCCCGCCUGGGAACUACGGCCGCAAGGCUAUAACUCAAACGAAUUGACGGGGACCCGCACAAGCACCGGAGCGUGUGGUUUAAUUCGAUGCUACACGAAGAACCUUACCUGGGUUUGACAUGUUGGUGGUACCGAACCGAAAGGGGAGGGACCCUUCGGGGAGCCAACACAGGUGCUGCAUGGCUGUCGUCAGCUCGUGCCGUGAGGUGUCGGGUUAAGUCCCGUAACGAGCGCAACCCUUGCUCUUAGUUAUACGUGUCUAAGGGGACUG